rnacentral:tRNA from 1 species
GUUUGGGUGGCAGAAUAGUGCAUUAGAUUUAAGCUUUAAAUAUAAAAUUUUAAUAAUUUUCCUUAACG